rnacentral:lncRNA from 1 species
GUACAAGAAGAACAGGGGGGCGAUCCCCACACAUCAAAACCCUAAAUCUUCACCAAACUUGCAAAUUGAAGGCUCAAUCCAAGUCAAAAUCGAAAAUCAAGCAUAGAUUAUUGAUCCCCAUGGCAAGAGGGUUUUUGACUCUUGACAAGCUAGAUGGAGGCUUGGGAAUGAAGCGGGUCAAACGGAGCAAGUACGAAAAGGAAAGCGUAAUUUGGAUGCGAGGUAAGUAA